rnacentral:rRNA from 1 species
GAUCUGGCUCAGGAUGAACGCUGGCGGCGUGCUUAACACAUGCAAGUCGAGCGAAGCACCUAAGAAAGAUUCUUCGGAUGAAUUCUUUUGUGACUGAGCGGCGGACGGGUGAGGUAACGCGUGGGUAACCUGCCUCAUACAGGGGGAUAACAGUUAGAAAUGACUGCUAAUACCGCAUAAGACCACGGUACCGCAUGGUACAGUGGUAAAAACUCCGGUGGUAUGAGAUGGACCCGCGU